UUGUUAACAUUUGUUAAGUACGUAUUUCAUUAGAAAAAUUGGUACACGCCGGCGGGAUUCGAACACCGGUGCAUAGUUUUGUACAGAAUGCACCGGGCGUCUUAUCC
rnacentral:scRNA from 1 species